rnacentral:lncRNA from 10 species
GUAAGACAGGAAGGGAGUGAGAUUAAGGUGAGAAGUGGGAGGGGAAGGAGGGAAACCGAGAGGAAUUGAGGGUGGGCUCGGCGUAUCUAGAGCAGUCCGCGGAGGACGCUGAGGCUCGCCGGGGAAGUGCUGUGCCCGAGGCGCCCCAAAGGUGGGCGGCGGUGCCAGCUCAGACCCACGCCUCUGUCCAAGUCCCGACUCCUGCGGACUCGGCUGCAGGCGGGCUCCAUGAGGGCGGGCAGCAGGGCUCAGACGAUCCGGCUCGGUUUGGUCAGCAGACCCCCGGUAACGCCCCGCACCGUCGGCGAUCCCUGCCCCCUUCCACUGCGCCCCCACAAGCCCCGAGCUCGCCAGUCCUUCCCCGCGGCGCUCCGCUCUGUGGCCCCCUCGCAUCCCACCGUGGGGGUGCAGCUCCCCUGGCACAGCCCGACGGUGGGAGAGGGCGGCCAGCUGGACUAAAAGCCCCGUCCCCGGGCGGGACCUUCCUCCCCGCACCCUGACGCGGAGGUUGGCCGGGGGCCUCUGCGUCCCUCUGCCCCGCGCCCUGGAUGGGGAGGGUCUGGGCUCCGCGCCGCGAGGCAGCGCGACGGCUGCGGGCGACUUGGCGUGCGGUGCUGAGGACCCUGGGGGAGUGUGCGCCGCGGGGACGCCGGGGACUCGGGGUCCUAGUGCCACCGGACGCAGCGGGAGUAGCGCAGGUCUGGGGGCGGGGUCUCUCGAGGCGCAGACAACAAGCUAGAUCCUGAGCCCUCUGCUUCAAAGCGGGUAGCGCCUUCGCCCACGCCUUCCCUCCCACCAUCCCUGCCUGGCUGCCACCCGGAAGUCCCCGUCCGCGCCCCGACAGCGCCGCCCUCCGGCUGGCUGCAGCGCGGGCCCUCGGUAGGGGGCGUUCCAAGGCCCCGCCUCCUCGUCACUGCCACGGAUGACGACGCCCCAGGCCCCCGGCCCCGCCUCCGCCUCUGCCUCCGCGGCCAGCACUGGGGAGCGUCCUGGCCUGCGCUUGCUCCCCAACCCCUCCUUGCCCCGCUCUGAGCCGGCGCGUCCUUGCUCCCCCACCACUCUUCUCUCUCGGGCCAGCCGAGCCCAAAAGGCCUCUCCUCUUCUGUUUUUCCAGUUCCCUCCUCAAUUUCACCUCCUCGGAGACCCUCCACCACCCAGAUCUUCAGCGAGCAAGUCACCUUUCCUUUAGAUAGACAGACAGGUUAGAGAUAGAUUAGAGAGAUUAGAUAGAGAUUAGACGGAUAGAUUAGAUAGACUGAUAAGAUGAAAGAUGUAGAUGGUAGAGAUUUGCAUACAUAUGGAUAGAUACAUAUGGAUAGAUCAUAGACAGAUGGAUGAUUGAUACGAUGUGGAUGAUAGAUGGUUGGAUAAAGAUGAUAGUUAUAGAUGAUAAAAAGGCAUAGAUGAUAGAUACAUAUAGAUGACAGAGAUAGAUAGAGAUGAUAUAUAACAUUGUAACACGUAUAGAUAGGCCACAGAUAGGUAGGCAGUGGGUAGAUAGGAGGUAGAUGGAUGGAUAUGCGUAUAGAUAUAGGUAUAUGUCCUGAAGGGACAACCCGGACCCCAGGCUGGCCAGGACAGUACCCAGGCUUUGGCAACCUCCUCAAUAGACACGAAGCUGCAGGUUUUCAGCUGCUUACGCCGGGCAAACUGUAAAGUGCUUUAAAUCCCUGGAACUAACCACAACGGCAGCUUAGCCUGGAAACUCAAGUGCUGGCUGCAGGCAGUUUGAGCGCAGCUCCAGGGCUGCAAGGUUGCCUGCAAGUAACACGACAUUUGUUCAUUCUUUCAAGCAUCUGCUGAGCCUGUUGCAGCUGCCUGUGGCUGGGUUCCGGCACUCAGAGACCCUGGGCCUGCUCGAGAGGGGCUGACAUUAUGCUAAGACUGUAACUGGUUACCAUAGCGACCUCAAGAAGCCCGGUUCAUACCCCUCCUUCCUGAUGAGACCUGGAGGUCUAAAUUGCUCCUGAGAUGAAUGCUGUGCACAGCUCCUCACCUGCAGAGAUAUUUGACAGGCAGCAUCCCAGCGCCUUCCUCCCCUGCACAAACUCAGGAAGGGAGCGAUGGCAAGAGAGGGAGGCCAGAUGACAGAUACCUCCACCACCGGGCCUCCAGGCUAGCACUUCCCUCCAUAAUAUGGGGGUCCCCAGGGAGAGGAGGACAAAGGACAUGAAGGCAAGAGCUGAAAACUACCAAAGAAGUUUUUGGUGUCCCCAGGAGAAACUACAGAUCUUCACCAAAGAUGAGUGAGGAGACUGUGAAUGGGCAGACACUUCACAUUCACCCAGGGAAGCCUCCAUCCCCUGGUAAAGACACAAGAACAGGGGAGCUGAACCCUUCGCCUCUGGACUUCGGGACCACCCAUUGUAACUAUUCUUCCUCCAUCCCACCUCUUCAGAGCUGUGACUGGCUGGAGGGAGGUGGGCUGCUGGGCUGCCUCCUCUGGGGAUGGAGACAGGGCAGCCUGGCCACAGGCACAGGAGGCAGGACUCAGGAACAGGCUGCUAGAACGCGCAGGUGACAUUCCAGCUGUACCCAGGCCCAGGUCUGGGCCCCAGUUUCCACCUAGAGGUGGUGUGAGCAGUGUGGCAGCUGGCUCUGACCGCCAAGACAUGGUGAGCUGAGGCUGCAGGGCCGUAACCCUGGCAGGCCCCAGCCACACCUGCAGACACAGCCCUCAGAGGCAGAGGCUAACACGGUUAAUUGGUUCCAACCUUCAGCUAAAAGUAGGAGCAUUGAUCAGGCACCCGUGAGGCUCAGAAGCUGUGGCCUCUGAGGAUGCUGUACUUCCGUGUAAGCUCAAACCCAGAAAAGAGAAAUCCGAUCAGAGGUUGUGGUGCUCACUUCCCAGCCGGGCCAGAGUGGGGCAGAGAGGCGGCAGGCUAUAAAUAGUGGAGGAACCGCCACUGAUAAUCCACUGGAGAGAAGGGAUAGGGCACUCUUCCCCCAGGAAGGAAUGGCAGGCCUCUCCAAGGAACAGCGGGACCUGUCAGAGCAGAGGACAGGAGAUGGUGGCCUCAUCCCCACCCACCCAAGGCCCAGUCCCCUUUCCCUGUCUGUGAAGUGCUUGCUUCUGCCCUGACUCCGUGGAGCAUGGGGACUUACAGGGCAGGCAUAGGAUGAGGGGACUUCAAAUAAUGGUCUUGGGAGUUGAGUUCAGGCUCUCAGUGGAGCCAGGGCUUGGCCAGAGUUCAUAUGAUUUCAGUGUAGGAAGCCGACACCGUCUGUGCAUCCCGACACGGAAGCACAAGUCCACUCUCCUGUCACUCAGCCAUCCCUCCAGAAAUGCAUCCAUCCAUCCAUCCAUCCAAAUAUCUAGUCAUUCAGUAAUUCAUUUGACAAAUAAGAAUUGAGUCCCAAUGAUGUGGCAAGCCCUGUGCUAAGUUCCUUGUGACCUCACCUGUAAACGGUGCUGCUUCUCCCCGUCCUUCUUAGGGUGCUUGUAAGAACCCAUCGAGGAAAGAAAUGUGCUUGCAGCCUGGGAAGUAUCACACAUGUAUCGGUGAGUUGGGGCUUUGACAGAGAGAAGCCUUUGGGUGCUUCCAAGAAGGGAACACCCCAGCCCCUAAGAGCUUCCUUUCCCUCCUUUGGUCCUCAAAAUCUCAGCCAAGGAGGCCUUGAUUGGCAUUCAUGGGCUAUGGCUUUUCAGGUCAACUUUGAACUCUUACGCCUUUUUCCUAAUAUGAGGGUCUAGAAUGUAAAUUUUGAGAUCCUUACUGAAGUAUGCUUCCCCCUAAACUUGCUGUGUGCACUUGGGCAGGCCAGGUGACCUCUCUGUGCAACAGUUUCAUCCACUGUAAAAUGGCAGUGACAUGAGUAACUAUCUCUUAGGGCUGUUGUGAUGAUCAGAGAGUCAGUAUAUGUGAAUUGCUUAGCAUAGUGGCUGGCACAGAGUAGGUACUAUCUAAGGGUGAGCUACUUGUGGAGAUGAUGCAAUCUGGCCCUGGGAAAUGGGGGUUCAGGCUCACCUUUUACAAAGGGACCCUAGGGGGUCCUAUGAGGCAAAUGCUUCUGGCUUUAAGAUACGUCAAGCCUUAGUCUCCUCAGAUUUUAAACCAUCUCCAUAAAACAGCUGUCCUAGGAAGGAAUCUUGGGCUUCUCUCAGAGUCUCAGACCAGAAACUCUGUGUCCUAAGACACUGCAGCCUCUUACAGGAAGGCACUGCAGGUCUCACAGGGAGAGGAAGAGUUAUACAGAACCCUGUCUUCCCUCUUCCUACACUCAUGUGGGUAAAAAGCUUAGAUUUUUCUUGCACUUGGAGUAGAACAAGGGGUACAGCUAAAGUGAUGGACUGCUGAGAGUUUCUAGCUGCUGCUGGAUUCCAUAAGUUCCAUCGGAUUAAGGAUGAGCUUAAUGUAUAAUGUAUAAACCCAUGGACAGAGACACUGCCUUGUUUAAGCAAUGGUUUACAUUCAUAACACAAAUAUAAAUGGAUAGUCAUUUCUUUCUUCAGGGCCCAGCACAAUUCAUUAGUAGCUUCUAGCCUUUUGUCCCUUUCAAGCAGAAAACAGACCCAGCUCAGAGAGCAGUGGCUGGGUCUGCUCAGGACCCAGGAGCCCAAAGCACACAGGAUCCCAAACGCUCCAGAGUCCAUAGAGACUUUGUUGUCAAGCACAUCAGAGAUCAUGACUGCUAUAUAUUCUUGGUGCUUCUUUUCAUCCAUUCAGAGUCUCAAAUGUUCUCUCUUCACUUUCCUGCUUCAUUCAACUAUGCUAAGACUGACAGCCUCCUGAGAUACUAACGUGAUAAGACACAAUCCCUGCCCUCAAGGAACUUUAGGGUAAGCCUGUCUCCCUGACCUUGGCUUCCUGAACUUAGCCUUGUUCCAUAUAAACCUUUUUCCUCCUUCCUACUUUCCUCCCACCAUCAUUGCUGGCUGGUACCAGCUGCUUACUUUGUGUUUCUAGUUGCAUUUCCUUAGCCUCUGUCUCCAGCUGAGCACUGGACUGCACACUGCAGAAAACAAAGGGGAAGAAACAAAGGCACUGGCCUGAAGGAGUUCAUGGCCCACUGGGGAGCUUUUUCAGAAAUAUAACCAAAGAAGCCCCUGCCCUGGAGAGCUUUCAGUCCACAGACAGUGCAUCCUAGAUAGAAAGGGGCCCUCUCUUAAAGAGGUCCAACCCUUCUCAUUCAUGUAACUAUGGCACAAAACAGUAGGUGCCAGUAGCACAAACAGUUCAGAGAAAGAUGCUGCAGAGUGCUGUUGCCUUAGCAUCCCUGGGAAAGGUGCAUGGGCUGUAACCAAGCCCCAUUGUUCCACCUGGGUGAUCAUGGCCAUUGCUAGGGGAGAGCAGAUUUACAUGUGGACACAGGUACUUAUGCUCUACCUGCAGCGACCCAAAACUCUCUUGCUGUUCAAACAUGUCCAAGCAGUCCCCCUGGGUCCAAGGCAGAGGGCCCACUCCAAGUGGGAGACCACAAAAUGACCUUAUACAAACACCAGAAAUUAGGUCUUAGACACAUGAAUGGGACAAAGACUAAGUGUCAAAAUCCCAAACUCAGUCAGCAGCCAAUGGGUGAAGCGGGCGGCAGGAGCAGAGGAGAAUGCAUGCGCUUCCUCCAGUGUCAUCUUUUUCCAUCCCUACGACCCACAGAAGGGUGACAUUAUUCCCCUUUUACAGAUGCAAACACUGAGGCCCAGAGAGGUUAUCUUGCGCAAGGCCCUGCAAUUAGUAAGUGGUAGAACCAAGACCCAAGCUUUUUAUUUUUAAAGCUGGGUCUUUUCAACUAUACCAUUCAGACUACAAAAGCAGAGAAAUAUUUUCCACUUUUUUAUUUGUUAUAAAUAUUUCAUUGAUCAACAUUUAGUUCCUCAGGCACCUGUGUAAGGUCCUCCACGUCCCAGGGCAGGAGGCCCGGGGCUCUAACUCAAGGCCGUGACCCACAGACACACAGGAAAGGCAGUCCCCUCCCUCCCUUCCUGGCCACAGCAGGGCUGGUGCUGCGGUGUCAGCGCUCCAAGGUAUCUGUCGAGGCAAUUUCAGCUCCAGUUUGCUCAAACUCCAGACCAAAGGCUCAGUCGCAGACUCUGAUGUGCCGAACAAAACCAGAGACAGGAACUCGUCUCAAUCACUGAGUCAGCUGGCGGUGAGAAAAUGGGCAGGUGGAAAGCUGGGGAGGGCCCUCCCUCCAUGUCCCCAUUUCCUAGACUGAGCUGGCCCUGCAUUUUCUGCACCCAGGGCUGCUCCCAGAGCAGGCACUAGAACCCUCUGCAGAUCCCAGACCCUGUUCUGCCCUGGAAGCAGUGAGGCACCUCACAGGCCCCCGAAGUCAUCUGAGGCUGGUGGCUGGAGUGCAGUGGCAUGAUCACAGCAAGAAAUCCUCUAACCUCAGCCUUCUGAGUAGCUGGAACUCUAGGCAGUGCCACCACACCCGACUAAUUUUAUUUUUUGUAGAGAUGGGGUCUGGCUGCAUUGCCCAGGCUGGUCUCAAACUCCUGGGCUCAAGGGAUCCUCCUUCCUCAACUUCCCAAAGUGCUGGCAUUACAGGUGUGAGCCACUGUGCCACCUGGGACUGCUUUCUAAAGAGAUUUUCUAUCUUAGAAUCUGUGGGGGCCACUUGAGGAGGAGCUGGUGAGAGGUGGCAUAAAGGUCUGGCCUGUUCCCCUUUAUUUAGGGUUGAGGAACCCCACAGCGAGGGACUGCUAACUCUGCCUUCAGCAUGUCUGGGAGCAGAGUCUUUCCCCUGGCUCCAUGAAGGCCUCCUGCGGAUCAUUUCUCACCUGCUGCGGAGCCACCUGCGGUGCUGACUGUCCCCUCCUGAACCCUGUGCCUCUCUAUGCCUGUCUUCAUUACCAGGGUACGAUGUCCUUCUCCAGCUAGGUGGAUUGGUUCCCAAAGACUCCGGAAUGAGGAACAUUUGCAGACAGCAAACUUAAAACCCUACGAGAAGAAUAGGGUGGGGGAAUUGUGGCUGCAGAUGAGCUUAGGAAGGUCCUUGGAUGUAUUUCUUCACAUGCGUCACAACACCACGCAGCCCUAUACCAAAGACAUGGCACAUCCCGAAGUCUUCCUCAAAGGUAAAUGACAAUCAAUUUCCAAUUUCCAUUAUUUGCUCCAGAGAGGUGGUUCAGGAAUUCCCUCGCCCUCAAGUUUAAAUGAGAUAUUAAUGAAUUAUUUUUGCCUUGUUGCAGACAACAUACCUGUUAGGAGGUGUGUGUGUGUGUGUGUGUGUGUGUGUGUGUGUGUGUGUGUGUGUGUGAUUCUCCAUCCAAGUGUUUACUUCCUUUCUCAUUUCAUGACUUUGGGUUAUUGACUCCUGUCCCUCCCCAACCUCUGCCCUCCCCAGUUGGGUGACCUGGGACCAACUCCCCAACCUCCACAUCUGUCUCCUUAUUAGUGAAAUGGAGCUAUGACAGAACCCAUGAUGUAGGGAUGCUCUAAGAUUUAAAUAAAGUAAUCCAGGUAAAAUGCCUAGUCAAUUGUCUGGCACCUAAUAAGCAUUCAGUCAGUGGUAGCCAUUACUUUCUUAUUAAUAAACUCAAAUAUCACAACCUACCAAGUGUCUGACUAUCCUCAGGGCUUGGCCUCUCCCAGACUUCAUCUGUCCCAUGCUGGCACUGUCAGAACUAUGCCCAUGAGGCCGAAUCACCCUGACUAUUUUGAGGCAACCUUGCUCCCACAUUUCCACCAUCUGUUGAAGGUAUUUCCUCUAUUGACCCCCAGGGAGGCCCAAGAGGGCCAAGUCACAGAUGGGAUGGGGAAGAGAAUCUAGAACUGAUCCCUCUUAAAGACAGUGCAGACUAGCAGACGGCUGCAAAACCUGGGUGUUGGGGCCCUGGGAACUUCCAGAAGUGGACCAUCCAUCCCUACUCCUCCCAGAGUUACACACACAUCCCAAGUUGAGACAGCACCUGUGACUGGCCUGGCCACACACUCACCAUUAGGUGGUCAAGACCGGCUCUCUAAAGUGGCUGCCUCAGGCCCUGUGGCUCCCAGUAACCAAAGUCCACAGGAGGGGUGGUGCAGUCUGAUUGAUCCAGGAAGUGAGCAGUGAUGGGAACAAGGGAUCCCCCCAUCUUUCUACGAGGCCUUGGAGCCGACUGGAGCAUGUCACAGAGGGGUGAGCAGGACUUAUUUCAUCAUAUGUUCAAAUGCUUGUGACAGACUUCCAGACACUUCUGUUCCUGCCUCUUCUCCCAAACACACACCCAUCCACAGGAACCCUGUACUCAUGUCCGCCAGAUUCAUGUCUACUCGAAUAAAAACUUCAAUUCAGUGGUUACGUUUGAUGUCCCUGUGCCUUUCAACACAUUUUUACAUAAUCUGACUUUAGAGCCUUUUCUUUAUAAUAUGCUUCCUUUCUAAGAGGAGCCGAUGCCUUUGGUUAAUGGAGUCUAUUCAAAAAAUACCUAUUGAAUACCUGCUAAGGCCUGCUGAAAGCCAGACACUUGGGGUGCAGGGAGGGGUUGCCAAUGGGAUAGAGGAAGCCAGAGACACAUACUUUCCCUCCAAGAAGCUUAGAGUGGGGGCGGCCUGGGGGAGAUGGAAAUUCACACAACUAAUGCCAGGCUUGGUAAGUACACGGAAAGAAGUGAACACAAAUUGCUUCAGGAACAAAAGCCUAAUUCCUGUGUUUGCAUGGGCCUCUGAUUUCAGGUUUGUGAAUUCAUGAGUUACGAUUUGUUAAUAUACAUCAUGGUGCAUGAAAUAAAGCUCUUGAUCUAAUAACACUAAUACACACCAAAUAGAGUGUGAGCUGGAUGAGUAAUUAGUGAAGCUCUGGGGUGUGACAUUAGCCCUGCUUGUGGAGGGAGGCGUAGCACUGCCUAUGUGUAUAUACAGCCAUGCCUCCAGUAUGGCAGCCACCAGGCACACGUGGCUACUGAGCACUUGAAAUGUGGCUGGUCCAAACUGAAAUGUGCUGUUAAAUACACAUGAGAUAUCAAAGACCAGAUAUCAAAGAAUCAGUACAAGAGAUUAAAACAGCUCAUGAAUACAUUUUGUACUGAUUACAUGUUUAAACAAUAAUAUCUUAUACAGUCAUGCACCAAUCAACAACGGGGAUACAUUCUGAGAAAUGUGUCGUUAGGCGAUUUCAUCAUUGUACGAGCAUCACAGAGUGAGUUACACAUGCCUAGAUGGUGUCGCCUACUACACACCUACGACACACCUAGAUGGUCUAGCCUACUACACACCUAGAUGGUCUAGCCUACUACACACUUAGAUGGUCUAGCCUACUACACACCUAGAUAGUCUAGCCUACUACACUCUUAAUGGUGUUGCCUACUACACACCUAGAUGGUCUAGCCUACUACACACCUAGAUGGUCUAGCCUACUAUACACUUAGAUAGUGUUGCCUACUACACACCUAAAUGGUCUGGCCUACUACACACUUAGAUGGUCUAGCCUACUACACACCUAGAUGGUCUAGCCUACUACACACUUAGAUAGUCUAGCCUACUACACACCUAGAUGGUCUAGCCUACUACACACCUAGAUGGUCUAGCCUACUACACACUUAGAUGGUCUAGCCUACUACACACCUAGAUGGUCUAGCCUACUAAACUCUUAAUGGCGUUGCCUACUACACACCUAGAUGGUCUAGCCUACUACACACUUAGAUGGUCUAGCCUACUACACACCUAGAUGGUCUAGCCUACUAAACUCUUAAUGGCGUUGCCUACUACACACCUAGAUGGUCUAGCCUACUACACACCUAGAUGGUCUAGCCUACUACACACUUAGAUGGUCUAGCCUACUACACAUCUAGAUAGCCUAACCUACUACACACCUAGAUGGUCUAGGCUACUACACCCUUAGAUGGUCUAGCCUACUACACACCUAGAUAGCCUAGCCUACUACACACCUAGAUGGUCUAGCCUGCUACACCCUUAGAUGGUCUAGCCUACUACACACCUAGAUAGUCUAGCCUACUACACACCUAGAUGGUCUAGCCUACUACACACUUCGAUGGUGUUGCCUACUACACACCUAGAUGGUCUAGCCUACUAUACACUUAGAUGCUGUUGCCUACUACACACCUAAAUGCUCUGGCCUACUACACACGUAGAUGGCGUUGCCUACCACACACCUAGGCUAUACGGCAUAGCCUGUUGCUCCUAGGCUACAAACCUGUACAGUACAAUACUGUACUGAAUACAGUAGGCAGUUGUAACACAGUGGUAAGUAUUUGUGAAUCUAAACAUAUUUAAACGUAGAAAAGGUACAAUAAAAUAUGGUAUUAUCAUCUUAUGGGACCAUCCUCAUAUAUGCAGUCCACCAUUGACUGAAAUGUUAUUAUGUGGCAUGUGACUAUGUAUAUUGGGUUAAAUAAAAUAUGUUAUAGAAUUAAAAUUAAUUUCAUCUUACUUCUUUUUACUUUUUUUGUUUUAUUGUAGCUACUGGAAAAUUUAAAACCCCAAAUGUGAUUCACAUUUAUGGUCCACCUUAUAUUCCUAUUGGCCAAUGCAGAUCUAGAGCAUUCAUAUUCGUUUCGUCAUUUAAUUCUCACCACCAUGCUACAAAGUAGGCAUUCACCCCCAUUUUACAGUCAAGCUAAUUGAGGCUCAGAGAAGUAGUAAAUUACUCCAAGUCACAUGACAUUAGGCUUCAGCAACUCACUUGAGCUGAUGACUAUCUUGGGCCAGUGGCUCAAGGCCUUGCAGCAAGAUGAAGGCCAAGACAACCACGUCUACUGGCAGUGUGGCCUGGGGCCAGUUAUUUGCUCCAUUACUUGUGGGUAAGAACAGAAGGAGAGUAGGUACUCCGUGUGUUCAACAAGUGAGGACGG